CGAGUAGAUUUCCAGGAAGAACAUGGAGAACAGAGACAAGGUGAUUCAGAAAUAGUGAAGGCAAUGCAACCUCAUCCAAAUUUGGAAUCUCUUUUCAUUUUUCACUGCCAUAUUGUCACCACCGAGUCUCUGUAUUGGAUCAACUCUUUACACAAUUUGAGACAAGUUAAUCUCUCUAACUGGGGAUUUUGUGAAGUUUUGCCUCCUCUUGGAAAAUUGCCAUCGCUUGAAUUUCUGGUAAGAGGAGAAGACGAAGUCUCUGAAACAGAAAUUCUAUUCCCCAAAUUGAAGCGACUCUCUUUUGUGGGGAUGAACAACUGGGAAGAGUGGGAAGGAAUUACAAAGACGGAUUCUUCUGAAAUCAGAAUCAUGCCACGCCUUUCUGAGUUGAAACUUGUGGGGUGCCCAAAGGUCAAAGCACUGCCGGACUUCGUCUACAAGAUAACAGCACUGCAAACUCUGAAGAUCAAGGAUUGUGAUAUUCUGGAAAGAGAAUACGAGGAAGACGUGGGGAAGGAGUGGCACAACAUUUCUGGCAUCCCAAACCUCACAAUUGGUAGAUCCUGAUCAAGUUUGAUGACUGGGUUACAACCAAUUACAAAUCUUCAUGGCUGUGAACAGAUCAUUUUUCCUUUGACGUGGUCGUGCCGCUUCUCUUUUCUUGGUGUGCUUCUGAGUGACGGGCUUCCAUGUCCACACUGCAUUCAGGUGAAGAAAUUAUAUUUGAAGAUGCAAAAUCAGUUCAAGGUAAUGAUGGUUAAACAGAUGGAGCUUCAUGAUUCUGUAGGCGUAGCAUCUCCAUGAAUGUGUUGCAGCUUUGGAGCUGCAUGAUUCUGUUGAAUUGGUUGAAGUCUCUCGUGGAAUUGAAACUGAUUGGAAUUAGAGAAACUAUUCUUGACUUUGGUAGUGAUGAAGAUUUUUGUUUUCAAAAUUUGUACUGCAAUGCUACUGAUGGAGCAGAUGUUAAGUGAGCGCAGGAGUUAUAAUAACCAGGGGCCAAGUGCAGUAAUUAAAAGGAUUGGAAUAGUCCGACGGAACAAGAAAGGUUUCUUGAAAUCACAACAAUGCAACAACUUUCGUACUGUGAAUUGAGAUGUUCCCAAAGCUGAAAGCGCUGCCAGACUUCCUGCACAAGAUAAUGAGACUGUGUACUUUGGAGAUUAAGAGUGGUCAGUUCUGGAACGAGAGUACAAAGAACGCUUGGGAAACAACCAAAGUAGUGGCACAACAGUUCUCACAUCACAAACGUCCAAUUGGAUGACUUUGCGAUAUCUUGGGGUAGAAAUGUGUAAUGCUAAGCUUUUCACGAUAUUACUAACCUGUAAGUCCCUCAUGUAAUAUUCUGAUCCUGCUGGAAACUAUUUUGGAUCUUAAAUGGUUGAUUAAUUCAUGGAACAGUUUGUCUGGAUAUUUAUGUCAAUAUCAA